rnacentral:rRNA from 1 species
UACGGAGGGUGCUAGCGUUGUUCGGAUUGACUGGGCGUAAAGGGCGUGUAGGCGGUUGGUCAAGUCUGAUGUGAAAGCCCGAAGCUUAGCUUCGGAAGUGCGUCGGAAACUAGCCGACUAGAGCGCGAUAGAGGAGGGUGGAAUUCCUGGUGUAGCGGUGAAAUGCGUAGAUAUCAGGAGGAACACCGGCGGCGAAGGCGGCCCUCUGGAUCGUUGCUGACGCUGAGACGCGAAAGCGUGGGGAGCAAACAGG